rnacentral:rRNA from 1 species
GGUUGACCUCGGAUCAGGUAGGGAUACCCGCUGAACUUAAGCAUAUCAAUAAGCGGAGGAAAAGAAACCAACAGGGAUUGCCUCAGUAACGGCGAGUGAAGCGGCAAGAGCUCAAAUUUGAAAGCUGGCUCCUUCGGGGUCCGCAUUGUAAUUUGCAGAGGAUGCUUCGGGCAUGGCCCCCGUCUAAGUGCCCUGGAAGGGGCCGUCAUAGAGGGUGAGAAUCCCGUCUGGGACGGGGUGUCCGUGUCCGUGUGAAGCUCCUUCGACGAGUCGAGUUGUUUGGGAAUGCAGCUCUAAAUGGGUGGUAAAUUUCAUCUAAAGCUAAAUACUGGCCGGAGACCGAUAGCGCACAAGUAGAGUGAUCGAAAGAUGAAAAGCACUUUGAAAAGAGAGUUAAACAGCACGUGAAAUUGUUGAAAGGGAAGCGUUUGCGACCAGACUCGCCCGCGGGGUUCAACCGGCAUUCGUGCCGGUGUACUUCCCCGUGGGCGGGCCAGCGUCGGUUUGGGCGGCCGGUCAAAGGCCUCCGGAAUGUAUCACCCUUCGGGGUUGUCUUAUAGCCGGGGGUGCAAUGCGGCCUGCCCGGACCGAGGAACGCGCUUCGGCUCGGACGCUGGCGUAAUGGUCGUAAAUGACC